CAAUGAUUGGGAUAUAAAACCCAGGGAUUCAAACCGGGAGUGGGCAACCCCCUUUGGGUCCCCUCCCAUUGUAUGGGAGCUCUGUUUUCACUCUGUUAAAUCUUGCAACUGUACACUCCUCUGGUCAGUGUUUGUUCCGGCUCAAGCUGAACUUUUGCUCACCCUCUACCACUGCUGUUCCCCGUGGUAGCAGACCCGCCGCUGACUUCCACCCCUCCGGAUCCGGCAGGGUGUCUGCUGCGCUCCUGAUCCAGUGAGGCGCCCAUUGCCGCUCCUGACCGGGCUAAAGGCUCACUAUUGUUCCUGCACAGCUAAGUGCCCAGGCACUGAUGCAGGGAAUUAAGAUAAACCUCCUGCUGAAGAUGAUCAUCAGGAGAAAGUGAUUCUGACAAAUCAGUGAAAUGCAUAAAGAAAGGACAAAGAGACAGGACAUGUCACAAAAGAUUUUUUUGCGCUACGUCACCUCUGUGGGUUUUAAGAGGUGAGUCAAAGUGCUUCAACUCUGUCCUCUACAGUAGUUGCAAUGAUAACUAAUUCUCCCCAGGUUUGACAGCACAAAAGCCCUCCCACAGGUACCCUGCUGUACCAAUGGUGGCUUAUCUCACUAGAAAGUUGCUCCUCUGUCAACAUUGGGCGUCUCUGGAAGGAGAGUUGGACCACUCUUUCCUCACUUUUCUCUGUAUGUCAAAACUGAACUUGAUAAUUUCAAAGCCCAGACUCUCCUUGCAGACCCAUCCUCAACCAGGAAACUUCCAGGACUACAUGUUGUCCAAGUAGUGAAAGUGCCCUAUAACGGAAAAGAGCUGACAGCAUAUGCAAACGUGACAAAGCAUAAGAGUUUUCCUGGUUAGUCAUUUGCUGGCUUUCACAUGUUCAUAAUAAGCCUCAUACCUUCACAGUGUGUGGUACAGAGUAGACACUCAAAUAUUUUUGUUGAAUGAAUGAAAGUAUUACAUGAGGCAGAAAUUUGAGUAAGAAUAGAUGUAUAUGCAAACAUUCUGUGGUCACUAUUUGGUAGGAAAAGGGAAAAGUUAAUCAGUAUGUACCCACUAUUCAUCCAGCUCUGUUGGGUGGUGAAUGACAGUGUACGGUUGCUGUAUUAAAUAACAGCAACAAGAAAACACAAGUAGUUUUUAUUUUGGCAUAAACUUCAUGUUACUUUCUAGUUGGUUAACUCAAUGCCUUGCAUCUGUUUUGUUAACAUCUUCUUGAACACAUUGUAUUUUUCACAUUUAAUAGUGUCAAGGCUUUUCACAGUAGGGCUUACAUUUGAUUUCGUCACACAAUAGACAAUUCCUAAGACAACCUAUAAUUCCAAUCCAUUAGGCUAAUGGAUUGUAGCUGCUGUGAGCAGUGGGCCUGUAAUCUUUUGAUAAUAAAGUCUAGUAAGACAUAAAAUAUAAAAAUAAAUAAACUGAAAGGACUAGAUUUAGCUGACAUAAAUAUUUUCUUUUUUCCUUAUAAAAGCCUAGUAAAUAGUCACAGUCAACAGAAUUUUUAGAAUUACAUAUGGAUACAUAUGAAUAAUUGCAUCACACAAUAUUGACAAAGCUCCAAAAGUGAUAAGUUUUUGUUUGGGAAGUCUUGGUAAUGAAAAUUCUUUACUUUCUUUUUUUCAAUUUUUACUUUUAAAAGCCUAUUAUUAUUACAUGUCAUUGCUUAUGUAUUACAGCAUUUAUCAUUAUAGAUUGUAUUCAAGUGGAUAUUCUUAGACCACAUUCUUGAGGCGUUAUUAGUAUAAGAACCUGCCUAUGGGAGAAGUGGACCUACCAUGAAAGAAGGCGAAGCAUCAUGGAAGAGAAUUGAAAGCUGAAAUUCUGUCUGUUGGAGAACAUGGGGAGGAAAUCUGGAACACCCAAUCCAGCUGGUUUAGCCACCUAAUGAACCAUUCCAUUAGUAACUAAAGAUCUUUGCUUUGUUCAUGUUACCUGCAUUAGAACCUGAACUCCUUCAAAGAAAUUCUCUUUCUCUUGUUUCUAUAGAAACAAUGCUGCUAAAAUAUAUUACAUAUCAUUAAUAUUUUGAAGUCUAUGAUUAAUAAAUAUGAAAAAUAAUUAUUGAUGUUCAUUCUUAAAGCUUCACUGUAAACAUAACUGUCUUCAUGCUUCAUCAAUGUCCCUAUAUACCUCGCUUUUUUGAUAAUAAUGAAAAAGAAGUAGAGGUUGUAAAAGAAAGGUGAGGGUAGAAGAAAAGAGCAGAAAAGGGGAAAAAGGGAUUGGAAAGGGGAAGAAGGAGAGGGCACAAGAGGAAAGGUAGUGGGAGAGGAGGAAAGAGAAGAGAGGAGGAAAGGAGAAAGUGGUUUCUGAGGGAAGGAGCAUUGGAGGCCAUGAUUUUGACCCAAGGCUCAUUUGCAUACAUACCAUAAGGCCUUGGAGGCACGUGUCAUCAUUUAAAGGAUGGAGGGGAUGUCUUUAUUACAAGGUCACUAUGUAUAGAUGCAGUUGUGCAGUGAAAGUACUUAGAUGUUGAGAUGCCAUAAAUCUAAUAGCCCCUCCCCGCACCAGGCUUAAGAUGUAUGUUUUGGUGAGAAAUUUACUCCAAGCCAGGCUAAUGAAGGGAAAGCUUAGAGUGAAUGGGAAAGAGAAUAACAGGAAUGCCUCCUUGAUCACCACACCAGAUGUACGAUGCUGAGGAAGGCAUGAGAAGCCUAGAAAAGAGCUUCUGAGACUCUCAGAUGCUGGAAGGCAUCACUGGAACAGCUUCCCUCCUCAGGAAGCCAGAGUCAGCAGUGCAUUGUUUGGGCUCUGCUAGUUCCACAUGAGCCAGGAUAAGUAGCUUGGGAGGCGGCAGAGCUACAAGGUUUCCAGCACAAGUGGCUGCUGGUGGGGAACUCAGCUGGAACCACCAUGACCAGCUCCCUGGCUAGAGAGUGCAAGUGACCUAUGUCUUUGCCUGCAGCAGUUCCUGGGUAUCAGGGAGACUGGCCCACUCCCUCAGCAACAGGUCAGAAAAGAACUCAUCCUUGGAGGGAAGUUUCUAGGGAGGGAAGCCAAUGAGGAGGGCCCUUAUUUCUGUUUCUCCCUGGGUCUGCCCCUGGUGCUACAUAUCAGAGAAGAAAGACCCCCACGGGGUUGUGCAAAGAGGGCCAACAGAGCACCUCCAAUUUAUUCCAAGGGCAAAUGGCUAGAGGCACAGACAAAAAUGUUGGGCACCUGAGGGAAAAGGAUUUAAGGCCAGAGUUUGGCUUCAUUGAUGUCUGGCCCUCUUCAGGCCGAAAUUUGUGUACAGCUACUUCUAGCAGGGGUGAGAUCACCAGGAGA
rnacentral:lncRNA from 1 species